CUCAUGGUUUCACGGUAUUGCAAUGAGAACAAUUUAAAACCCUUAGCGAGAAUCAAGUGGAGGACAAGUCUGGUGCCAGCACCCGCGGUAAUUCCAGCUCCACUAGCGUAUAUUAAAGUUGUUGCAGUUAAAAAGCUCGUAGUUGAACCUCUGUCUGGGGCUAGUUUUGGCUUUGGUCAGGCUAGUUCUAGGCAUCCUCCUACAAGACUUAGAGGGCAUUCAGUUGUUCACUAGGAGGAGUAGGCAUUUUACUUUGAAAAAAUUAGAGUGUUUAAGGCAGGCAAUCGCCCGCAUAUAUUAGCAUGGAAUAAUAGAAUAGGACACUUUUCCAUUUCGUUGGUUAUUGGAAUCGUGUAAUGAUUAAUAGGGACAGUUGUGGGCAUUUGUAUUUAAUUGUCAGAGGUGAAAUUCUUGGAUUUAUUAAAGACAAACUAACGCGAAAGCAUUUGCCAAGGAUGUUUUCAUUAAUCAAGAACGAAAGUUAGGGGAUCAAAGACGAUCAGAUACCGUCCUAGUCUUAACUAUAAACUAUUCCGACUCAAUGUUUGACUGGCUUAUAUAACCAGUUGAGCGUUGUAUGAGAAAUCAAAGUCUUUAGGUUCUGGGGGGAGUAUGGUUGCAAAGCUGAAACUUAAAGGAAUUGACGGAAGAGCACAACCAGGAGUGGAUUCUGCGGCUUAAUUUGACUCAACACGGGGAAACUUACCAGGUUAAAACAAUAGUGGGAUUGACAGUUUGAGAGCGCUUUCUUGAUUGGUUGGGUGGUGGUGCAUGGCCGUUCUUAGUUGGUGGAGUGAUUUGUCUGCUUAAUUGCGUUAACGAACGAGACCUUAACCUGCUUACUAGACUGGCGAUCAUCAAUCGUUAGCUCUUCUUAGAGGGACUUUGGUUGUUUUAACUCCAAGGAAGUUUGAGGCAAUAACAGGUCUGUGAUGCCCUUAGAUAUCCUGGGCCGCACGCGUCAUACAAUGACUAGUUCAGAAAGUUUUCUCCUGACCCGAAAGGGGAUGGGUAAUCUUGAUAAUACUAGUCGUGUUAGGGAUCGAUCUUUGCAAUUAUAGAUCUUGAACGAGGAAUUCCUAGUAAGUGCGGUUCAUCAGACCGUACUGAUUACGUCCCUGCUCUUUGUACACACCGCCCGUCGCUUCUACCGAGUGGGUGGUCCGGUGAGAUAAUUGAACUUCGCGGGUAACUGAGAGGAAAGAUUAUCAAACCUAUCCACCUCGAGGAAGAAGAAGUCGUAACAAGG
rnacentral:rRNA from 1 species